GUCUGCCUUUGUACACACCGCCCGUCGCUCCUACCGAUUGAAUGGUCCGGUGAAGUUUUCGGAUUGCGGCGACGCCGGCGGUUCGCCGCCGGUGACGUUGUGAGAAGUUUAUUAAACCUUAUCAUUUAGAGGAAGGAGAAGUCGUAACAAGGUUUCCGUAGGUGAACCUGCGGAAGGAUCAUUG
rnacentral:rRNA from 1 species